AGGACGAACGCUGGCGGCGUGCUUAACACAUGCAAGUCGAGCGGAAAGGCCCUUCGGGGUACUCGAGCGGCGAACGGGUGAGUAACACGUGAGCAACCUGCCCUUAGCUCCGGGAUAGCUCCGGGAAACCGGAAUUAAUACCGGAUACGACCACGGCCGACAUCUGCUGUGGUGGAAAGGAUUCCGGCUAAGGAUGGGCUCGCGGCCUAUCAGCUAGUUGGUGGGGUAAUGGCCCACCAAGGCGACGACGGGUAGCCGGCCUGAGAGGGCGACCGGCCACACUGGGACUGAGACACGGCCCAGACUCCUACGGGAGGCAGCAGUGGGGAAUAUUGCGCAAUGGGCGAAAGCCUGACGCAGCGACGCCGCGUGGGGGAUGAAGGCCUUCUGGUUGUAAACCCCUUUCAGCAGGGACGAAGCGAAAGUGACGGUACCUGCAGAAGAAGCGCCGGCUAACUACGCGCCAGCAGCCGC
rnacentral:rRNA from 1 species